CAGCUUGUUCAGGUAUUAAAAACGGCCGGACCUGUCGAGUGAAGACGGAUGGAUACAGGUAUGCUGGCCGACCAGGAAAGCACCUAAAAACAAGGAGGCCGCAAAACCGCUCCUACUCGGAGACAACUACAAGGAGUUGAUGGAAAGAAAAGAAGCCUUCUUCAAGGAUGAAGACAUCUGGCACAUGGCAGUUGCAAGGAGAAGGUCCUCACCUUGUACCACAACAUAUGACGGAAGCAAACCAAAGAAAAAAAGAAUUACUGCAACUUCCAGUCUCACUUCAGAUGAAGAUGAAACACAGAUUGACCCAUCACAAGUUCUUCAAACAAAUAUACAGUUAUUGCUGAAUUUCCAGGAACAACUGUCUGAUGUGAGAGCAGUGAUUCGGAGAAAAUGCAACAAUGAGAAUUUUGUGA